GGUCUUGUAGUCAAAUAUGACAUUAAGUUGCAAACUUAAGGGUGAAGGGUUUCUAAGGCCU
rnacentral:tRNA from 1 species